CUCCUCCUAGGAGUGUCUGAGCAAGCAGCUUAUAGUGCCCCAGUAAUCUUCAGUGCAUGGCCAGCACUCAGUGACACUGCCAUUUCACAGGGGCAAUCGAUGAGUCUGCAGGAGUGCUGAGCACAGCAGCGAGCAGGUCCUUGUGAGCUGAUGUCCUCCUGGGCCAUGCAUGUUUCUGUGAUUCGCAUGGAGAUUGUGGAACAAGAUGGGUAUCUGGUGCUGGAAAGAGAAGAAAAACUCCAAAUAAAUGCCUUAAUAACAGGAGCUCUCAGCCAUGAAUGUCCUGAGUUGGAAAGGACCCACACAACCAGCAAUUCCAGCUCCUGGCCUGGCACAGGACAACCCCAAGAAUCAUCACCCCAUGUUCCUGAGAGCAUUGUCCAAAGUCUUCUUGAAUGCUGUCAGGCUUGGUGUUGUGACCACUUCCCUGGGGAGCCUGUUCCAGCAUUUGACCACCUUGUGGCUGAAGAACCAGGCUGAGGAGCCAAGUGACCUGUUUUGAUCAAUGCUUUCUGGGCAGUUGCUUGUCUUCAGUAAAUUCCAGAAUAAA